UACGUAGGGGGCGAGCGUUGUCCGGAUUCAUUGGGCGUAAAGCGCGCGUAGGCGGCUCCGCAAGUCGGCCGUGAAAUCUCCGGGCUCAACUCGGAGGGGUCGGGCGAGACUGCGGGGCUCGAGGUGGGCAGAGGGCAGUGGAAUUCCGGGUGUAGUGGUGGAAUGCGUAGAGAUCCGGAGGAACACCAGUGGCGAAGGCGGCUGCCUGGGCCUGGCCUGACGCUGAGGCGCGAAAACGUGGGGAGCGAACAGG
rnacentral:rRNA from 1 species